rnacentral:lncRNA from 10 species
AGAAUGGAAGGCAGCAGAUGUUUGUUGACUUCUUGCUCUAUAUCGGGCACUGUGCUAGAUACCAUACACGCCAUCAACAUUUAGGACAGUAUGACAAAGGAGAAUGAAAGCUGUCUCUUGUAGAUAGGAUAUUUUCAGCCGUCAUCACCAUGGACUCUUUGAAAUGUACUACUUCAGAAAAGCCACAGUGACUCCCUCUGGGCCUCACCCACCUGAGAUGACAUCACGACGCAAAUCUAGGACUUACGCUCUUCAUACGGAUGGAAUGGUUGGUUCACUUGGCUUUCAGAGUGCAGACAAGCCAUUCAGUGGAGGGCAUGCCUCAGCCUGCACUCUUCUGACUCAUGACAUGACUUCUCCAUGGAGAGCCAGGAUUUUUCUCAAGUGUAACAAUAUUAAUUAUCAAGUCACUUUAAAACA